AGCGGCGGACGGGUGAGUAAUGCCUAGGAAUCUGCCUGGUAGUGGGGGAUAACGCUCGGAAACGGACGCUAAUACCGCAUACGUCCUACGGGAGAAAGCAGGGGACCUUCGGGCCUUGCGCUAUCAGAUGAGCCUAGGUCGGAUUAGCUAGUUGGUGAGGUAAUGGCUCACCAAGGCGACGAUCCGUAACUGGUCUGAGAGGAUGAUCAGUCACACUGGAACUGAGACACGGUCCAGACUCCUACGGGAGGCAGCAGUGGGGAAUAUUGGACAAUGGGCGAAAGCCUGAUCCAGCCAUGCCGCGUGUGUGAAGAAGGUCUUC
rnacentral:rRNA from 1 species